rnacentral:rRNA from 1 species
UACGAAGGGGCUAGCGUUGCUCGGAAUCACUGGGCGUAAAGGGUGCGUAGGCGGGUCUUUAAGUCAGGGGUGAAAUCCUGGAGCUCAACUCCAGAACUGCCUUUGAUACUGAAGAUCUUGAGUUCGGGAGAGGUGAGUGGAACUGCGAGUGUAGAGGUGAAAAUUCGUAGAUAUUCGCAAGAACACCAGUGGCGAAGGCGGACUCACUGGCCCGAUACUGACGCUGAGGCACGAAAGCGUGGGAG